rnacentral:rRNA from 1 species
UACGAAGGGGGCUAGCGUUGCUCGGAAUCACUGGGCGUAAAGCGUCCGCAGGUGGCACUUCAAGUCUGUCGUCAAAGACUGGGGCUUAACCCCGGAAAGGCGGUGGAAACUGAAGCGCUAGAGUGCGGUAGGGGUAGAGGGAAUUCCCGGUGUAGCGGUGAAAUGCGUAGAGAUCGGGAAGAACAUCGGUGGCGAAAGCGCUCUACUGGACCGCAACUGACACUCAGGGACGAAAGCUAGGGGAGCGAAUGGG